rnacentral:rRNA from 1 species
GUGGGGAAUCUUCCGCAAUGGACGAAAGUCUGACGGAGCAACGCCGCGUGAGUGAAGAAGGUUUUCGGAUCGUAAAGCUCUUUCGUUAGGGACGAACGUGCUCUUUGUGAAUAAUGAGGAGUAAUGACGGUACCUAAAUAAGAAGCCACGGCUAACUACGUGCCAGCAGCCGCGGUAAUACGUAGGUGGCAAGCGUUGUCCGGAAUUAUUGGGCGUAAAGCGCGCGCAGGCGGGAUAUCAAGUCUGUCUUAAAAGUGCGAGGCUCAACCUCGUGAGGGGACAGAAACUGGUAUUCUUGAGUGUCGGAGAGGAAAGUGGAAUUCCAAGUGUAGCGGUGAAAUGCGUAGAGAUUUGGAAGAACACCAGUGGCGAAGGCGACUUUCUGGACGAUGCCUGACGCUGAGGCGCGAAAGCUAGGGGAGCGAACGGGAUUAGAUACCCGGGUAGUCC